rnacentral:lncRNA from 1 species
UACCUGAGCUCACAGGAUUCAAUCAUGUGAUGAUCACAUAAGACUUUUAGCAUUGAAAUACUUUUGUAAGGAGUGGUUUAGAUAGAGAGGAGAGAUAGGGAUCAUAUCAAGGUUUAGGAGAAGGAGGAGAUGUUAGAAAAAGAGAUUACCAGAAUGCAUAGGGCUUGGGAUCAAGUUAGAUAGAGAGGAGGGAAGAGGACGACAAUGAGUUUUAAAGAGAAGGAGGAGGUGUUGGAAGAGUACGAGGUGGUAGGAGUGCUCAGGUUUGGGAUCAAAUUAGAUGGAGGAGGAAGAUGACAAUGACAGAGUUUAGAGAGGCGAAGGUGCUAUAAGAGGAGAUGGUGAUGGGACUCGGAUCGAACCAGAUUAGAUAAAGAGG